ACCCCAAAAUCUCCUUAGAAGGUGCAGACCAAGGUUACCCUGGUGGCCUUCAGGGAAAAAGCUUCUCAGAUCCUAGGUGGCAUCCCGUGGUCAAAGCAUCAAGUACAUAAAGGGACCUUAGCUUGAAGAUGACAGACCGAGGGCUAAAUGGGUUUAAGUCUCUGUCCCCAAAAUGUAAAAUAAAUGAUUAGGAUAGUCAGGGCUGGUCUGAAUAGGCACAUUGGAUUGGUUCAGAUGAAGCAGGCUCGUCUGUAAGCACAGAUGAGUCAAGGCUAGACACAGUUAGGGCCAUAAAAGAGGAAGCCCUGACUUCCUAAAAGAGGAGAGCCUCCACCUCUCCAGGGCAGUCUGAGGCUUUGGGGGCAUGCCCUCUGGCUGGCUGAGGCUGCUGCCUCCGUCCAAGCCGGCUGGCAGAAGUGACGGCCCAGCACAUCAGCAAGCGGCCAACAGGAGCUCCCGGCUGCCUUUUUCUGCAGGGGUGACAAUGUGGCGUGCUUCCUGACCUCUCUUCCUCCUCUGUACCGAAUGAUGAAGGGACAGGACAAUCAGAAACUCUUCCUUGUGCGAACACGGAAGUAUGCAUUCCUCAUCAGACACAACCACAAGACCAAGCACGUGACAGGCGAGGUCUCCGAUUUUUUUCUUCGCCUAUUUCCUCCUAAAAUUUAAGCCCGCAGUUAGCCACACUAAACUGCAAGAGAGUGCGGGCUUAACACAGCUCUGUGAAGCAUACCCCACGUUUUGUUGUUGCUGUUUUCCCGAGGAGUGCCAACAAUCCGAAUAAGAUUGUAAAUAAAUAAGGUAUAAGGAAUUUCCCCCAGGACCUCACAUCUGCAAUUCCACCCAACGUCAAGGACUUCUGAGCCUGCUGUCCCCAAACAUAUGCCUGAAACCAAAGCAGUGACAUGUUCGGUGGUGAACUGGGUGCUGUGUCCUCAGCUCCAGCCUCUCUCUUCCCCUGAUAAUAAAACAGCCUGCUUUACUUCACCACAA